GGGGAAUUUUCCGCAAUGGGCGAAAGCCUGACGGAGCAAUACCGCGUGAGGGAGGAAGGCUCUUGGGUUGUAAACCUCUUUUCUCAAGGAAGAAAAAAAUGACGGUACUUGAGGAAUAAGCAUCGGCUAACUCCGUGCCAGCAGCCGCGGUAAUACGGAGGAUGCAAGCGUUAUCCGGAAUGAUUGGGCGUAAAGCGUCCGCAGGUGGCUAUGUAAGUCUGCUGUUAAAGAGUCUGGCUCAACCAGAUAAAGGCAGUGGAAACUACAUGGCUAGAGUGCGUUCGGGGCAGAGGGAAUUCCUGGUGUAGCGGUGAAAUGCGUAGAGAUCAGGAAGAACACCGGUGGCGAAAGCGCUCUGCUAGGCCGCAACUGACACUGAGGGACGAAAGCUAGGGGAGCGAAUGGGAUUAGAUACCCCAGUAGUCCUAGCCGUAAACGAUGGAUACUAGGCGUGGCUUGUAUCGACCCGAGCCGUGCCGUAGCUAACGCGUUAAGUAUCCCGCCUGGGGAGUACGCAGGCAACUGUGAAACUCAAAGGAAUUGACGGGGGCCCGCACAAGCGGUGGAGUAUGUGGUUUAAUUCGAUGCAACGCGAAGAACCUUACCAGGACUUGACAUGUCGCGAAUUUCUGUGAAUGCAGAAAGUGCCUUCGGGAGCGCGAACACAGGUGGUGCAUGGCUGUCGUCAGCUCGUGUCGUGAGAUGUUGGGUUAAGUCCCGCAACGAGCGCAACCCUCGUUUUUAGUUGCCAGCAUUAAGUUGGGCACUCUAGAGAGACUGCCGGUGACAAACCGGAGGAAGGUGGGGAUGACGUCAAGUCAGCAUGCCCCUUACGUUCUGGGCUACACACGUACUACAAUGCUACGGACAAAGGGCAGCAAGCAUGCGAAUGCAAGCUAAUCUCAUAAACCGUGGCUCAGUUCAGAUCGCAGGCUGCAACUCGCCUGCGUGAAGGAGGAAUCGCUAGUAAUUGCAGGUCAGCAUACUGCAGUGAAUUCGUUCCCGGGCCUUGUACACACCGCCCGUCACACCAUGGAAGCUGGUAGUGCCCGAAGUCAUUACCCCAACCGCUUGCGGAGGGGGAUGCCUAAGGCAGGACUGGUGACUGGGGUGAAGUCGUAACAAGGUAGCCGUACCGGAAGGUGUGGCUGGAUCACCUCCU
rnacentral:rRNA from 1 species